CUAUCUAAAAGUAAUAAUAAAUUAACUAACGAGCGUAUAAAUAUAAAAAACCAGAGUGUGAGUGUUUUAAGUGGAAUGUGUGUGGAUGAUAUUUAACGAAAUUGUAAAACAAAGUACUAGAAAUCGAAAAAAAGAAGACGAAUUUUUUUUAUUGUGCGUUUAAUAAUUACAACAAUUUGUGUUUGUGUGCUGUCAACACCAUCAUCAUUGUCAAAAUUUUGAUAAUCAUCAUCAAAAAUUAGCAUCAACUGAAAAAAAAUUCUCAAGAUGGCUAUACCCCCUCCCCCGGGUCCGCCACCACCACCAGGUC